UACGUAGGGUGCGAGCGUUGUCCGGAAUUAUUGGGCGUAAAGGGUGCGUAGGCGGCGCGGUAAGUCGGUUGUGAAAUCUUGGAGCUUAACUCCGAAACUGCAUUCGAUACUGCCGUGCUUGAGGACUGGAGAGGAGACUGGAAUUUACGGUGUAGCGGUGAAAUGCGUAGAUAUCGUAAGGAAGACCAGUGGCGAAGGCGGGUCUCUGGACAGUUCCUGACGCUGAGGCACGAAGGCCAGGGGAGCAAACGGG
rnacentral:rRNA from 1 species